AUACGAAGGUGGCAAGCGUUGUUCGGAAUUACUGGGCGUAAAGGGCGUGUAGGCGGAUCGAUUAGUCAGGGGUGAAAUCCCGGGGCUCAACCUCGGAACUGCCUUUGAUACUGUCGGUCUUGAGUCUGUGAGAGGGUGGCGGAAUACCCAGUGUAGAGGUGAAAUUCGUAGAUAUUGGGUAGAACACCAGUGGCGAAGGCGGCCACCUGGCACAGUACUGACGCUGAGGCGCGAAAGCGUGGGGAGCAAACAGGAUUAGAUACCCCGGUAGUCC
rnacentral:rRNA from 1 species